UACGUAGGGGGCAAGCGUUGUCCGGAAUCAUUGGGCGUAAAGAGCGUGUAGGCGGCCCGGUAAGUCCGCUGUGAAAGUCCAGGGCUCAACCCUGGGAUGCCGGUGGAUACUGUCGGGCUCGAGUCCGGAAGAGGCGAGUGGAAUUCCCGGUGUAGCGGUGAAAUGCGAAGAUAUCGGGAGGAACACCAAUGGCGAAGGCAGCUCGCUGGGACGUGACUGACGCUGAGACGCGAAAGCGUGGGGAGCAAACAGG
rnacentral:rRNA from 1 species